rnacentral:lncRNA from 1 species
GCGCUCAUCCACGUCUGGGCGUUAGAAACCCGCCAAGCCACCUCCGGCCCCUUCGCCGCCUCCAGGCCCUUCAGCUCCGCCGCCGUCCUCCGGGCCUGGUCCGCCGCGUCCCCCAGCACCUCCGUGCAGUCCGCCAGAGCCGCCGCCACCCGGCCGGAUGCCCCGCGCCGGAGCAGCUUCACCCGGCCAGCGAGGUCGCUGAUGCGGGCGAGGGUGAGGUUGGUGGCCAGCUGGGCCACCUGGACCGGGCUCUCCUGGACCGCGCUCGAGUAGCCGGCCAUGGAGGUGAAGCAGAGCCGCGGGUACCGCGUCGCCCCGCAGCAAGCGCGGAUGAACUCCAUCGAAUUCCCCCCGGAGCCCGGCCGCUUUGCCGCAACGGCGGUGG